GACGAACGCUGGCGGCGUGCUUAACACAUGCAAGUCGAACGGAAAGGCCCUGCUUUUGUGGGGUGCUCGAGUGGCGAACGGGUGAGUAACACGUGAGUAACCUGCCCUUGACUUUGGGAUAACUUCAGGAAACUGGGGCUAAUACCGGAUAGGAGCUCCUGCUGCAUGGUGGGGGUUGGAAAGUUUCGGCGGUUGGGGAUGGACUCGCGGCUUAUCAGCUUGUUGGUGGGGUAGUGGCUUACCAAGGCGUUGACGGGUAGCCGGCCUGAGAGGGUGACCGGGCCAAUUGGGGAUGGGAUUCGGGCCCGACUCCUACGGGAGGCACGAAUGGGGAAUAUUGCACAAUGGGCGGAAGCCUGAUGCAGCAACGCCGCGUGCGGGAUGACGGCCUUCGGGUUGUAACCCGCUUUCGCCUGUGACGAAGCGUGAGUGACGGUAAUGGGUAAAGAAGCACCGGCUAACUACGUG
rnacentral:rRNA from 1 species